AGAGUUUGAUCCUGGCUCAGGACGAACGCUGGCGGCGUGCCUAGUACAUGCAAGUCGAGCGGACCUUUCGGGGUCAGCGGCGGACGGGUGGGUAACACGUGGGCAAUCUGCCCGAUACUCUGGGAUAACGCUUGGAAACGAGUGCUAAUACCGGAUGGUCUUCUUGGUCGCAUGGCCGAGAAGGAAAAGACGCGUUCGCGUCGGUGUCGGAUGAGCCCGCGGCGCAUUAGCUAGUUGGUGAGGUAACGGCCCACCAAGGCGACGAUGCGUAGCCGACCUGAGAGGGUGACCGGCCACACUGGGACUGAGACACGGCCCAGACUCCUACGGGAGGCAGCAGUAGGGAAUCUUCCACAAUGGGCGAAAGCCUGAUGGAGCAACGCCGCGUGAGUGAUGAAGGCCUUCGGGUUGUAAAACUCUGUCAUUCGGGACGAACCC
rnacentral:rRNA from 1 species